UNNNNUNNCGGNGNCUGGCUAUGCAGUCGUGACGAGGUAGCCGAAAGCUUGCUUGUGGGCUGAGUAGCGGGGGACGGCUGAGUAAUACUUGGGAACUUGCCUUUAGGAGGGGGACAACCACGGGAAACUGUGGCUAAUACCGCACAAUGUCUACGGACCAAAGCAGGGGAUCUUCGGACCUUGUACCUAAAGAUGGGCCCAAGCGAGAUUAGCUAGUUGGUGGGGUAAAGGCUCACCAAGGCGACUAUCUCUAGCUGUUCUGAGAGGAUGAUCAGCCACACUGGGACUGACACACGGCCCACACUCCUACGGGAGGCAGCAGGGGGGAAUAUUGCACAAUGGGGGAAACCCUGAUGCAGCCAUGCCGCGUGGGUGAAGAAGGCCUUCGGGUUGUAAAGCACUUUCAGUGGUGAGGAAGGCCGUAAGAUUAAUACUCUUGCGGAUUGACGUUAACCACAGAAGAAGCACCGGCUAACUCCGUGCCAGCAGCCGCGGGAAUACGGAGGGUGCAAGCGUUAAUCGGAAUUACUGGGCGUAAAGCGUACGUAGGCGGCUUGUUCAGCAAGAUGUGAAAGCCCCGGGCUCAACCUGGGAAUGGCAUUUUGAACUGGCAGGCUCGAGUUCUGAAGAGGGUGGUAGAAUUUCCUGUGUAGCGGUGAAAUGCGUACAUAUAGGGAGGAAUACCGGUGGCGAAGGCGGCCACCUGGUCAGAAACUGACGCUGACGUACGAAAGCGUGUUGGAGCAAACAGGAUUAGAUACCCCUGGUAGUCCACGCCGUAAACGAUGUCAACUAGUUGUUCGUCUUAUAAACAAUGUGAGUAACGCAGCUAACGCACUAAGUUGACCGCCAUGGGCAGUACCGGCCGCUGAGGCUCAAGNCUCAUAUGAAUUGGCUGGGGGCCCGCCACCAGCGGUGGAUCAUGUGGCUUNAUUUCGAUGAUAACGCGA
rnacentral:rRNA from 1 species